rnacentral:lncRNA from 1 species
GGGAAAGUUUGUUUAUUUUGUUUUUAGUUUCUGGGGUCCCCGUGUUUCUCGGAGGUGAAGCGGGAGGGAGUGACCCCCCCCGAGCCCCUCAGUCCCUCUACUACGUCGCCUCCAUAGCCUGCAGAGAAGCGGGGACCGCGCGCAUCGCGGCGCAUCGCCUCACAGCGGAACGCCGCGCACUCGGAGCCGGCACGGCUCAGUGGGUUUUGGUUUUUGCACUGAAUGUAGUCUAGACUCAUCUUCACGGGCUUGUGUUGCCCCAGGAUACUGUCAAAGGCAGUAUUUGUGUGUUUCUGCAGAGUUUUGCACAGAGUCUGUUCCCAUGCAGACCAAUGAGGGAGAAGUAUCGGAAGAAAGCAGUUCCAAGGGAUGGAGAAUGGAUGGAAAUAUGGCUGAAACAAGAAUGACAGAAUGUUGGGCUUCCCUGGUGGCACAGUGGUUGAGAAUCUGCCUGCUAAUGCAGGGGACACGGGUUCGAGCCCUGGUCUGGGAAGAUCCCACAUGCCGCGGAGCAACUAGGCCCGAGAGCCACAACUGCUG